AUAAGCAUCGGCUAACUCCGUGCCAGCAGCCGCGGUAAUACGGAGGAUGCAAGCGUUAUCCGGAAUGAUUGGGCGUAAAGCGUCCGCAGGUGGCAAUUCAAGUCUGCUGUCAAAGGUCGGGGCUUAACUCCGAACAGGCAGUGGAAACUGAACAGCUAGAGUGUGGUAGGGGUAGAGGGAAUUCCCGGUGUAGCGGUGAAAUGCGUAGAGAUCGGGAAGAACACCAGUGGCGAAAGCGCUCUACUAGGUUGCAUCUGACACUGAGGGACGAAAGCUAGGGGAGCGAAUGGGAUUAGAUACCCCAGUAGUCCUAGCCGUAAACGAUGGAUACUAGGCGUUGAGAGUAUCGACCCUCUCAGUGCCGGAGCCAACGCGUUAAGUAUCCCGCCUGGGGAGUACGCGCGCAAGCGUGAAACUCAAAGGAAUUGACGGGGGCCCGCACAAGCGGUGGAGUAUGUGGUUUAAUUCGAUCGAGCGCAACCCUCGUGCCUAGUUGCCAUCAUUCGGUUGGGAACUCUAGGCAGACUGCCGGUGACAAACCGGAGGAAGGUGGGGAUGACGUCAAGUCAGCAUGCCCCUUACGCUCUGGGCUACACACGUACUACAAUGCGAUGGACAAAGGGUAGCUAGCCGGCGACGGUAUGCCAAUCUCGUAAACCAUCGCUCAGUUCAGAUCGCAGGCUGCAACUCGCCUGCGUGAAGGCGGAAUCGCUAGUAAUCGCCGGUCAGCCAUACGGCGGUGAAUACGUUCCCGGGCCUUGUACACACCGCCCGUCACACCAUGGAAGCUGGCCACGCCCGAAGUCGUUACCCUAACCUGCAAAGGAGGGGGAUGCCGAAGGCAGGGCUGGUGACUGGGGUGAAGUCGUAACAAGGUAGCCGUACCGGAAGGUGUGGCUG
rnacentral:rRNA from 1 species